rnacentral:rRNA from 1 species
AAAGCGUGGGGAGCGAACAGGAUUAGAUACCCUGGUAGUCCACGCCGUAAACGAUGAGUGCUAAGUGUUAGGGGGUUUCCGCCCCUUAGUGCUGCAGCUAACGCAUUAAGCACUCCGCCUGGGGAGUACGGUCGCAAGACUGAAACUCAAAGGAAUUGACGGGGGCCCGCACAAGCGGUGGAGCAUGUGGUUUAAUUCGAAGCAACGCGAAGAACCUUACCAGGUCUUGACAUCCUCUGACAACCCUAGAGAUAGGGCUUUCCCUUCGGGGACAGAGUGACAGGUGGUGCAUGGUUGUCGUCAGCUCGUGUCGUGAGAUGUUGGGUUAAGUCCCGCAACGAGCGCAACCCUUGAUCUUAGUUGCCAGCAUUCAGUUGGGCACUCUAAGGUGACUGCCGGUGACAAACCGGAGGAAGGUGGGGAUGACGUCAAAUCAUCAUGCCCCUUAUGACCUGGGCUACACACGUGCUACAAUGGACAGAACAAAGGGCUGCAAGACCGCAAGGUUU